GGGGUAAAGCCAGAGGAAACUC
rnacentral:siRNA from 1 species